AGAUGGCGACCGGCGCACGGGUGAGUAACGCGUAUCCAACCUGCCGAUAACUCGGGGAUAGCCUUUCGAAAGAAAGAUUAAUACCCGAUGGUAUAAUCAGACCGCAUGGUUUGAUUAUUAAAGAAUUUCGGUUAUCGAUGGGGAUGCGUUCCAUUAGGCAGUUGGUGAGGUAACGGCUCACCAAACCUUCGAUGGAUAGGGGUUCUGAGAGGAAGGUCCCCCACAUUGGAACUGAGACACGGUCCAA
rnacentral:rRNA from 1 species